GAUUUACCUUCAAUUCGACGUCGAUUAUCGUCGACGCAAACAGUUUGACAGUUCUCUUCAGUUGAUCUUGUUCGGACUUGAUCAAAUCAGAAAAACAAUAUUGUUGUAAAGGUUCGUGAGGAUUUUGGCUGGUUGAUUGACUUCCUGAUUUCAGCCUUCGCGACGGUGGAAGAGAACGUGAAACAUCGUUAACCCGGCGGAUCAUGCCGGAAGAUGGGACGGGAAGGAACCGGUCUGCGAUCGAAAGCGGAUUGGGAUCUGUAUCAAACAGUCUCCAAACAGGACAAUGAAAGUGUUGGUGGUGUUUGAUUUUUAGAGAAUGUCAAAAUCGACAUUAUCAAUACUAAGACCUGGAAAAAAGAACAAACUUGCGGCCGAGUACAACCUCUGAGUGAAAGCGAUGGAGGUGAACGAACUACUCACGGGGCAGCACACGAAUUCUACCGAAUUGGCCAUCAUCAAGCGAAAUUUGGAAAAUUGUGACUGCAGUGAUAGUGAAUAUUUGGAAAACAAAGUGCCAGGCCAGUGAAAACUAAUAGAUAUCAAUAAAAAUCAGCAAAACAACAAAUAAAAUGAAUUUUAUUUCGAAAAUAACCUAAAAAUUCCGAAAUGACAGCACACGACAAUAGCACGACAUCCUAAAUAACAAAACCGUGCGACGUCGGUCGAAUGUCGUACGACAAUGUCGAACAAUUUCGAUGAUCGAUCGCACGACAAAUACGACAUUUUGGUGCAAAAACGUAUGACAUUCGUGCGAAUGUCGCACGACAUUGUCGUGCGACGUCUUACGAUUGCACGUACGACAAACGACGGACGUCGGACGGACUUUUCAGUCAGGGCCCUGUUUGAAAAAUGUCGCACGUCGUACGAGCUGUCGCGCGGUUUUGAUUUUACCGUUUCGAUAUCGAUUGGUCGAAAGGACGACAAACACUCGACAUGCCCGACAUUGUUUUUUCCAUCGAUUUUCCUUCAAUUUGACUUCACGAUUUUCGUCGACGCAGUUUGACAGUUCUCUUCAGUUGGUCUUGUUUGGACUUGAUCAAAUCAGAGAAACUUUGAACCGAAUCGAACCAGUUUACGUUGUUGAAAAGUUUCGUGUGGAUUUUGGCCGGUUGAUUGAUUUCCUGAUUUCGGCCUUCGUGGUGGAGGUGGAGGAGAACGGGUCACAUUGUUGCUCCGGCGGGCCAUGCCGGAAGACGGGAAGGGGAGCACCCAGUCUGUGAUCGAGGAAGCGGAUUGGUGUUUAUUGGGAGGUGGCGAUGCGUGGUUUUUAUACGGUAACCAAAAAUAUUCCAAUCGAAUCCUGCUGACAACCCAGCGUUUCCGUGUUGUCCCACGGAACGGAAGCUGUAACGAUCGCAAAAACACCUGCACCAGAAGUGCGUAAACCAACGUUGUCCCGUAGGCCAUCAAUCUGUGGGAAUUGAAUGGAAGCGCCGCUCCAGUGCCGUAUCUACACGCUGGCGUUGACUCCAAAAGAUGGCUGACAAAGUCCGGCCAAGAUGCCGAAGCGACGAGAUGAGCUGAAAGGCCAACCGGAAGACAACGCCAAAAACCACGUGAAGAUCGCGACACACAAUAAGUAAAAUUAAUGAAUGUUUGUGAAAUCGAGUGAAUAUGAUUAAUUUACAGAAAAAAUACAUCUAAUAAUAAUUAAAAAUAAAAAAACGUUUAUUUUUACUGCAACAUAACCUAAAAACCCGAUAAAAACAGCACACGACAAAGGCACGACAACCUAAAUAACAAAACCGUGCGACGUCGGUCGAAUGUCGUACGACAAUGUCGAACAAUUUCGAUGAUCGAUCGCACGACAAAUACGACAUUUUGGUGCAAAAACGUAUGACAUUCGUGCGAAAGUCGCACGACAUUGUCGUGCGACGUCGUACGAUUGCACGGACGACAAACGACGGAC